CCUACGGGUGGCAGCAGUGAGGAAUAUUGGUCAAUGGACGAGAGUCUGAACCAGCCAAGUAGCGUGAAGGAUGACUGCCCUAUGGGUUGUAAACUUCUUUUAUAUGGGAAUAAAAUGUUCCACGUGUGGGACUAUGUAUGGACCAUACGAACAAGGAUCGGCCAACCUCGUGCCAGCAGCCGCGGGAAUACGGAGGAUCCGAGGGUUAUCCGGAUUUAUUGGGUUUAAAGGGAGCGUAGGUGGAUUGUUAAGUCAGUUGUGAAAGUUUGCGGCUCAACCGUAGAAUUGCAGUUGAAACUGGCAGUCUUGAGUACAGUAGAGGUGAGCGGAAUUCGUGGUGUAGCGGUGAAAUGCUUAGAUAUCGCGAAGAACUCCGGUUGCGAAGGCAGCUCACUGGACUGCAACUGACACUGAGGCUCGAAAGUGUGGGUAUCAAACAGGAUUAGAUACCCCAGUAGUC
rnacentral:rRNA from 1 species